UACAGAGGGGGGCAAGCGUUAUUCGGAAUUAUUGGGCGUAAAGCGCGUGUAGGCGGCCAGAAAAGUCCGCUGUGAAAACUCGAGGCUCAACUUCGAGCUGUCGGUGGAAACUUUCUGGCUAGAGUCCGGAAGAGGAGAAUGGAAUUCCUGGUGUAGCGGUGAAAUGCGCAGAUAUCAGGAAGAACACCCGUGGCGAAGGCGGUUCUCUGGGACGGUACUGACGCUGAGACGCGAAAGCGUGGGGAGCGAACAGG
rnacentral:rRNA from 1 species